rnacentral:lncRNA from 1 species
GGCGGUUCCUCGGCAGCUAUUUUGGGGGAGAUGACAGGCGCCGACGUUACAGUUAAUGCGGGCGUGUCGACAUCUCGGGCGGUGGAAGCCUCAACUUCCAGGGCGGCAUAAGGAAGGGGCGUUUCAGGAGAGGGGGAUGAUUCGGAGUCCGAUAUGGAUCCCAAGGACAUCCGUCAUGCUCAGGAGGGUUAUACCCACUCGGCCGUGCAGGCCGAGGGGGAUUAUCAUUAUUUGGAGAUU